rnacentral:rRNA from 1 species
GAUGAACGCUGGCGGCGUGCCUAAUACAUGCAAGUCGAGCGAACAGACGAGGAGUUUGCUCCUUUGACGUUAGCGGCGGACGGGUGAGUCACACGUAGGUAACCUACCUAUAAGACUGGGAUAACUUCGGGAAACCGGAGCUAAUACCGGAUAAUAUUUCGAACCUCAUGGUUCGAUAGUGAAAGAUGGCUUUGCUAUCACUUAUAGAUGGACCUGCGCCGUAUUAGCUAGUUGGUAAGGUAACGGCUUACCAAGGCAGCGAUAGGUAGCCGACCUGAGAGGCGGAUAGGCGAAACUGGAACGGGGAGACGGUCAAGACUCCUACGGGAGGGAGCAGUAGGGAAUCUUCCGCGAUGGGAGAAAGCCUGACUGAUCAACGCCGCGUGAGUGAUGAAGGUCUUCGGAUCGUAAAACUCUGGUAGUAGGGAGGAACAAACGUUUAAUUAACUGUGCACGUCUUGAAGGUACCUAAUCAGAAAGCCACGGCUAACUACGUG